AUGAGUGGCGAAGGGUGAGUAACACGUGAGUAACCUGCCCUCUUCUUUGGGAUAACGCCCGGAAACGGGUGCUAAUACUGGAUAUUCACUGAUCUUCGCAUGGGGGUUGGUGGAAAGGUUUUUUCUGGUGGGGGAUGGGCUCGCGGCCUAUCAGCUUGUUGGUGGGGUGAUGGCCUACCAAGGCUUUGACGGGUAGCCGGCCUGAGAGGGUGACCGGUCACAUUGGGACUGAGAUACGGCCCAG
rnacentral:rRNA from 1 species